AUGCCAACUGAAGAUUCUGGGAUUGGUGAGCUGUGGUUUGUCAAAAACCAGCUGUGCUUCUCUGACCUCAGCCCUGAAAUCCAACCCCUCCCAUCUGAGAAUCCUGGACCUGAGCUCCAACAAGCUGCAGGAUUCUGGAGUGAAGGAGCUGUGUGGUUUCCUGCAGAGUCCACACUGUAAACUGGAAAAUCUGGGGGAACGAUCGUUUACCAAGGCCAGUGUUGCUGGAGUUGUGUGCAGAGCUGCGGCCGGCCCUAGAGCAGAACAUCCCCCCACUGGAGGAACCAGAUGCUGGACCCGUCAACUUCAACCCACCUCGGGAAGCCAUAGGGGCCUGGCAGAAUGUGAUUUCAAGCAUGUAAAGAGGCAAGGACAGAAUUUACUUGUACACAAGUGCAUUUAUUGAUUUGCUUAUACCACUGAGUACAUUAAUUAGUUGAUCUAGACGAUCAUUUAUACCACCGAUGGCUCUCACUAUUUCCUCCUGUGAUUCCAGCACAGCUCGGGUGAGGACACGCCCAGUCGGGCGGACAUCAGCAGCUGGCAGUGGAGCCGGUGGUGACACCGGGGCCGGUGGAGGAGUCUGUGCCCUCUCCUGGCUUCUCGUCUAUUGAGAAAUAAUAAAAACACUGUAAUUAAACAUGAGUCAAAGUGUUUAAUAUCCUGGCAUCUUUACGCACGACCUAUGUGUAUUGUAAGCAGCCAAUUGUAUGACCAGUAUAAUUACAAGAUUUAUGAGUUCAGCAUAUUUACCAUGGGGAUGAUCUGUGUCUCCUUCAUGGGCACUCACUUCCACGUUGAUUGGGAUGUACAAAAGACACGUGCUUGGAUCCAUGCCUACGCACAUGCCUUUGAUACAUCUGAAUUUAUUUGUGCGUACGACAGCUUCUGGGUUUUGGCGUACACCAAGUUUCAGUAGGAAAUCCAUGCAAAUCUUUGUACAUGAGGCCCCAGUUGUUUUUGGUGUAAGUCAAUCAUUAGAAUCAGCUUGUAGCCUAUACUACAAAUCACAACCAGGUUCUUCCUUAGUGUCCCAUUGUUUUCCUCCAAUGUCCCCUUAUUUUCCAUUUCCAUGAAACAAGCAUCUUUCUAUUUCUAUUUCUAUACCAAUAAACAAUGAAAUCAGCAUCAGCUGAGAAUAAUGACAGGUGACGUGAAAUAACCAAGCAUGAGCGGAGCACAGGGGUGGACUGGGACAAAAAUUUGGCCCUGGACUUGUUGGUCCAGACUGGCCCACUACAAUCCGUGCGUAGAUACUGUGCUAACUCGCCCCAUUGAUGUAGAUAAACCAUGCAAGCCCUUAAUAACACCACUAUACUGAGCAAUAUCCCUUUAUAUUCUGGAGCCUUGAAUAAAUAAAUGAUAAAUAUACAGUGCACUGCUUACUGUACUUGCUCAUUAUCACACAGCUGCCUGCUGCCUAUCACAAAUCUGGUCAUGAGACGUAGGGUAGUGUGGAAUAUGUUAAGUUUGAACAAGAUUACAUGCCAAAAAUGAGUACGUGGGCUAGUUGACUAAAGUAUGGAAAACAAUAGUAUAAUGAUCUGAAAAAUGGACAAACACUUAGAAUUUUUUUUUAAAACAGACAGUACAGCCGCGUCUGUGCUGCUGGUCCCGCCAGUAAACACACCACACUACUGUCAGUGAACACACCACACUACUCUGUUAAAUACGGAGGUUUUAGAAAUGUCCUUGCUGGAGAUGAACGCAUGUUUUUAGGAUUUUUAACUGAUCUACAGUCUGGCAUUGUUGGGUUUGAUACUUGUGUCCGUUCUUUCUUCAGACUGAGGAGCUGCAGUUUGUCAGAGGUCAGUUGUUCUUCUCUGGCCUCAGCUCUCAAGUACAACCCUUCCUAUCUUAAAGUCCUCAACCUGAGCUCCAACAAGCUGCAAGAUGUGCAUUUAAAGCCUCUGUCUGAACUCGUGGAAAGUUCGGACUGUGCACUUGAGACUCUGAGAUACAAGCGAUGAUCUUGAUGAAGGUGAGAGUGAAGAGGAGGAACAGUGAUCUCUCUGACUUAUCCUGCUUCACUGCAUCUAACCCUGAGCAUGAUGAAAUGUUAUGUGGAGAUGCAGCAGAACAAGGCUGGGAAGCAAAUGACCAACUACUGGAACACACACCAUAGGUUUGUUCAAACACAUAUGAAGGAAUCUAUAGAUAAUCAGGCAGCAUGAGCCCAACAGACCUCAAGAUGUUAACAACACCUAAUAAUAACAGUGAUGAUCUGGAAUCUCGUUAUACAAGUCACAUAUUUGUGCUUCCUUGUGUUUUUUCAUAUAUUUCCUUUUUCAUUUACAAACGUUUCUCAACAGGAAGAUUAUUACUUGUGUUUUGUAGUUCACCCCAUUGUACUGUCUGUACUGUACUGUCUGUACUGUACUGUACUGU